rnacentral:misc_RNA from 1 species
GAUGAAGAACGCAGCGAAAUGCGAUAAGUAAUGUGAAUUGCAGAAUUCAGUGAAUCAUCGAAUCUUUGAACGCAUCUUGCGCUCCUUGGUAUUCCUUGGAGCAUGCCUGUUUGAGUAUCAUGAGCAAACCUCAAAGUCAAUUCCUUUUGUUAAUUCAAUUGGUUUUGCUUUGGACUUGGAGGUCUUGCAGAUUUCACAGUCUGCUCCUCUUAAAUGCAUUAGCUGGAUCUCAGUAAUUAUGCUUGGUUCCACUCGGCGUGAUAAGUAUCACUCGCUGAGGACACUGUUAAAAAGGUGGCCAGGAAAAUACUGAUUGAACCGCUUCUAACGGUCUAUUAAGUUAGACAAUCACCCUUAAGUUUGAUCUCAAAUCAGGUAGGACUACCCGCUGAACUUAAGCAUAUCAAUAAGCGGAGGA